CUAACCACCAAGAAUUGCAGAGGAGAAAUAUUGGCUACUUUAUUAUAAAUGGCACCAUCCAGGAGAACGGAAAGCUGAUGCUCAAAAGCCUGAACUCCCUGAUGGCAUGUAGGCUACAGAUUAUUUAGGUCAAAGUCACAAACACCAUGGGCUAUGGUUUUUUUGUGUGCUGGGAGCUGAUACGCCGGAGGUGAGGAACAAGUUUGCCGACUGCCACACUAAAGGGAAGAUUCACUGCAUUACAUCAGACCUUUUUUCAUAUCUCUAUAAGAAUCAUGAUGUUUCCAAGGCAACGCAUGGCUUGGGGAAUUGGAGAGAAGAGUCUGGAUGCAAAGGGAUAACAUCAUAGCCACCACAACAAUCUAUCCAGCACGCAGAUGUCGGAUGUUCAGAGGGACCAAGUCAUCUUGAUUAGAAUUGAGGUGGCAUGAGUUUCAAAGCGGAAUCCUCAUGCUCAUGCUCAAUAAAUUUGCAAACCUCCCUGUACUGCAGUGGAGAAGGGAAUAUGCUUAAAACAAUGCUGGGAUUUGGCCCCGGGCUUAUUCAGGUGUGGGGAUGAUUGCCAGGGAGCAUGCUAUUACCUUGCCAGGAUGUAGAUGCUUCUGAAUCUCUUUUCUGUUGUAGGCGUGUGUUGGGAACACAAGUUUCCUUUUCUUAUCCACCCCCAAUAUUAGGAACUCUCCAAAUUGCCACAUCAUUUUCCCUGGGAUGACACUCAUUUCUUUAGAAAUAAAUCUUUAAAAUGUUUAUUAUAAGAAAGACAUUUUAUUGUAGAAAAGCCAGGACAUACAGUUAUUUAAAAAUAAGAAAGUAAAAACUCAAACCACCACUCUCA